GACGAACGCUGGCGGCGUGCUUAACACAUGCAAGUCGAACGGAAAGGCCCUGCUUGCAGGGUGCUCGAGUGGCGAACGGGUGAGUAACACGUGGGUGAUCUGCCCCUUACUUUGGGAUAAGCCUGGGAAACUGGGUCUAAUACUGGAUAGGACCAUGCUGUAGGUGGUGUGGUGGAAAGAUUAGUUUCGGUAAGGGAUGAGCUCGCGGCCUAUCAGCUUGUUGGUGGGGUAAUGGCCUACCAAGGCGUCGACGGGUAGCCGGCCUGAGAGGGUGGACGGCCACAUUGGGACUGUGAUACGGCCCAGACUCCUACGGGAGGCAGCAGUGGGGAAUAUUGCACAAUGGGCGCAUGCCUGAUGCAGCGACGCCGCGUGGGGGAUGACGGCCUUCGGGUUGUAAACUCCUUUCAGCCAUGACGAAGCCCUUGUGGUGACGGUAGUGGUAGAAGAAGCACCGGCUAACUACGUG
rnacentral:rRNA from 1 species